rnacentral:rRNA from 1 species
GAGUUUGAUCGUGGCUCAGAACGAACGCUGGCGGCAGGCUUAACACAUGCAAGUCGAACGCCCCGCAAGGGGAGUGGCGCACGGGUGAGUAACGCGUGGAUAUCUGCCUUUUGGUUCGGAAUAACCCCGGGAAACUGGGGCUAAUACCGGAUGGUUUCCUACGGGAUAAAGAUUUAUCGCCAAAAGAUGAGUCCGCGUACGAUUAGCUAGUUGGUGAGGUAAUGGCUCACCAAGGCGACGAUCGUUAGCUGGUCUGAGAGGACGAUCAGCCACACUGGGACUGAGACACGGCCCAGACUCCUACGGGAGGCAGCAGUGGGGAAUAUUGGACAAUGGGGGCAACCCUGAUCCAGCCAUGCCGCGUGAGUGAUGAAGGCCUUCGGUUGUAAG